CACAGAAGGCACCUACAGUAGGUUACCACACAGAAGGCACCUACAGUAGGUUACCACACAGAAGGCACCUACAGUAGGUUACCACACAGAAGGCACCUACAGUAGGUUACCACACAGAAGGCACCUACAGUAGGUUACCACACAGAAGGCACCUACAGUAGGUUACCACACAGAAGGCACCUACAGUAGGUUACCACACAGAAGGCACCUACAGUAGGUUACCACACAGAAGGCACCUACAGUAGGUUACCACACAGAAGGCACCUACAGUAGGUUACCACACAGAAGGCACCUACAGUAGGUUACCACACAGAAGGCACCUACAGUAGGUUACCACACAGAAGGCACCUACAGUAGGUUACCACACAGAAGGCACCUACAGUAGGUUACCACACAGAAGGCACCUACAGUAGGUUACCACACAGAAGGCACCUACAGUAGGUUACCACACAGAAGGCACCUACAGUAGGUUACCACACAGAAGGCACCUACAGUAGGUUACCACACAGAAGGCACCUACAGUAGGUUACCACACAGAAGGCCACACAGAAGGCACCUACAGUAGGUUACCACACAGAAGGCACCUACAGUAGGUUACCACACAGAAGGCACCUACAGUAGGUUACCACACAGAAGGCACCUACAGUAGGUUACCACACAGAAGGCACCUACAGUAGGUUACCACACAGAAGGCACCUACAGUAGGUUACCACACAGAAGGCACCUACAGUAGGUUACCACACAGAAGGCACCUACAGUAGGUUACCACACAGAAGGCACCUACAGUAGGUUAGCCCUCAACCAUAGUCAGGCAUCCAAUUCUCGAAGGUCUUCAGUUGAGAGAAUAUAUCACAGAGUCGCUCGGAUUAAACAAAGUGGAUCCAAAAACAGCUGGAUCCAAAAUGCAUAGCUAGCUAUUUCCACAAGCAAAGUAGACUCUAUAGAUGUAUUUACCUGGUUUCCAGUGUGACAUUUAACAUUUUGCCCUAAGAAAUCUGUGGUCCUUGAGUCCUCUGCUCUGUGUGUCUGACAGACAGUGAGGGGGGACAGGGUCAUGUGACCUGUGGUUGGUAGUGAGUGGUAGAAUCCCUACUAGACUGGGCUCUGGCUGCCUGUCUGUGCCCAGCAGACAGCAGUCUGUAUACACCCUCUAUUAAUCAUCCUAUCAGAACCCAGGGAUGCCCGGGCCAUGUAUGUGUCCUGAUUGGUUUGAGUGUGAGCGACGUGCGUUCCGUUCCUCUGUCUAGCUAACGAGCUCCCGGGGGACGCCUCCAUAUUAACUAAGUGUCUCUGUCAGGGAUACCCGUCUGACCGACGUGCUCCGCUCCCCGUGUGAAAAAUGGCCACAAUUACCAUUUUAACCUCCCCUUAUUUCCUCUCCCCCAUUGAUAUUCUCCUAUUUAUUUGCAUCCCUUUGUGUCCUUCAGGCUUGCACUGUUCUUUCCUCUCUUAAAGAACUGCAGUUUGCUCUCUGUGGUCUAUACUGGAUUUUAAACCAUUUUGUGCAGAAUGGCUGGCGUUUGCUGCUCAGUCACUCUACAUUAAGAAGAGGGACUGACCCACGCACUGAUCCACCCUCCCUGUGAGCAAGACAGAUAUCCAGCAGAGUACUCAGCCAGCCGUAAUGGUGUGAGCCGCAUCCUCUGUGUGACUGCUGCUAAUGUUAAGGUUCAUGACGAUCUCUGGGUUUAAUUAGCCAUCUGGUUGGCGGGCAGAGCAGAGCACGGACCUGACUAGCGUGGGUUGGUUGGCUAGCCCAGUAAUUCACUUUCCUGGCCAGUAAUGAGCUUCUCUAGUUAUUUAGUGAACUCUGUGUCAGUGGUGGUUCUCCAGGAUGGCAGAGAGAGAGUAGGCCCUCUUGUAAAGCGACUAAUGGAAAGCGUUGAAUGGUAAUGCUGUUAUGUCCUUGAUAGCUGCCUGGCAGCCACUAAACGACACGCUGCUCUAUGAGGAUGGUGGAAGAUGUGGUUGUGAACGCAGACGUCUCAAAAGAUGGAGGUGGAAGACGUUUCUCUGUUUUGAUAUUAUUGUAUAAAUUUGUGAUGGUGAUCCUGCUGUGCUGUGUUGACUCCAUGUCCCAAGUCUCUCUAACAUCCCUCCUGUACUUUGUUCCUUCUUUGGUAGUGAACUUAUACAGUAGGUUACCCCCUAUGUGGUACUUUUAGAAUGAGAUCAUUGGCCAGAAGGGGAGGAGACUUGUAUGGAAAGAUAUUUAAAAGUACUUUGUUUUAACCUUGAGUUGUAGUCCCAGUUUCCCAGUCUCUCCUCCAUCUCCUACCUGCUCAUGCGUCCUCCAGAAGCCUUUCUUCCUCCCUGCAUCGCGCAGAUCCUGGUCGCCCGAGGAUGACGGUUGUCAGCAGAAUCUGACUCCGACCGAUGCCCCAUCCUAAUUUAGAGUGCUGCUCUGACGUACUGUCAUGAUCCCCUUUCUCUCUACGUAGGCUCACACACACACACACGCACACGCACACACACACACCUCUCAUCACACUCUCUUCC